rnacentral:rRNA from 1 species
GACGAACGCUGGCGGCGUGCUUAACACAUGCAAGUCGAACGGAAAGGCCCUGCUUGCAGGGUACUCGAGUGGCGAACGGGUGAGUAACACGUGGGUGAUCUGCCCUGCACUUCGGGAUAAGCCUGGGAAACUGGGUCUAAUACCGGAUAGGAGCCAUUUUUAGUGUGAUGGUUGGAAAGUUAUUUCGGUGUAGGAUGAGCUCGCGGCCUAUCAGCUUGUUGGUGGGGUAAUGGCCUACCAAGGCGGCGUCGGGUAGCCGGCCUGAGAGGGUGGACGGGCACAUUGGGACUGAGAGACGGCCCAGACUCCUACGGGAGGCAGCAGUGGGGAAUAUUGCACAAUGGGCGCAAGCCUGAUGCAGCGACGCCGCGGGGGGGAUGACGGCCUUCGGGUUGUAAACACCUUUCGCUAGGGACGAAGCUUUUUGUGACGGUACCUAGAGAAGAAGCACCGGCUAACUACGUG